rnacentral:rRNA from 1 species
AGUGAACGCUGGCGGCGUGCUUAACACAUGCAAGUCGAACGAGAACGGGUUAUAGCUUGCUAUAAUUGUCAGCUAAGUGGCGCACGGGUGAGUAAUGUAUAGGUAAUAUGCCUCUUACUAAGGGAUAACAAAUGGAAACGUUUGCUAAUACCUUAUACUCCUUAUUAACAUAAGUUAAUAAGGGAAAGAUUUAUUGGUAAGAGAUUAGCCUGUAUUGUAUCAGUUAGUUGGUGGGGUAAUGGCUUACCAAGACUAUGACACAUGACUGGUUUGAGAGGAUGAUCAGUCACACUGGAACUGAUACACGGUCCAGACUCCUACGGGAGGCAGCAGUGGGGAAUAUUGCACAAUGGACGAAAGUCUGAUGCAGCAACGCCGCGUGGAGGAUGACACAUUUCGGUGCGUAAACUCCUUUUAUAUGAGAAGAUAAUGACGGUACUAUAUGAAUAAGCACCGGCUAACUCCGUGCCAGCCGCCGCCGUAA